rnacentral:rRNA from 1 species
GAUGAACGCUGGCGGCGUGCCUAAUACAUGCAAGUCGAGCGAACGGACGAGAAGCUUGCUUCUCUGAUGUUAGCGGCGGACGGGUGAGUAACACGUGGAUAACCUACCUAUAAGACUGGGAUAACUUCGGGAAACCGGAGCUAAUACCGGAUGAUAUUUUGAACCGCAUGGUUCAAAAGUGAAAGACGGUCUUGCUGUCACUUAUAGAUGGAUCCGCGCUGCAUUAGCUAGUUGGUAAGGUAACGGCUUACCAAGGCAACGAUGCAUAGCCGACCUGAGAGGGUGAUCGGCCACACUGGAACUGAGACACGGUCCAGACUCCUACGGGAGGCAGCAGUAGGGAAUCUUCCGCAAUGGGCGAAAGCCUGACGGAGCAACGCCGCGUGAGUGAUGAAGGUCUUCGGAUCGUAAAACUCUGUUAUUAGGGAAGAACAGAUGUGUAAGUAACUGUGCACAUCUUGACGGUACCUAAGCAGAAAGCCACGGCUAACUACGU